AGGAUGGUCUCAAUCUCCUGACCUCGUGAUCCCCCUGCCUCGGCCUCCCAAAGUGCUGGGAUUACAGGCAUGAGCCACCGCGCCUGGCCAAAUUUUUGUAUUUUUUGUAGAAACAAGGUUUAACCAUGUUGGCCAGGCUGGUCUCAAACUCCUGACCUCAGAUGAUCUGCCCUCCUCAGUCUCCCAACGUACAUGAGCCACCACACCUGGCCCCACUUUCCUUUUGUAUUCAGCCUUAUGAAGGUUUGGUUGACAAAUAGAAAUCGUAUGUAUUGGUGGUGUAUUGAUAUGUGUACACAUUAUGUGAUGAUUAAAUUAGGCUAAUUAACACAUCCAUCAGCUUGCAUACUUAUUUUUGUGUGUGGUGAUCUGAAGAUCUGCUGUCUUGGCAAUUUUAAGUAUGCAUUACAUUUUAUCAACAGUAGUCACUAUGCUGUGUGACAGAUCUCCAGAUAUUAAUUCUCCUGUUUAAAGGUUUGUAUCCUUUGACUAACAUCUCCCCAUUGCCCUCAACCCUGCCCCUGGCUACCACCAUUCUACUCUCUGCUUCUAUGACUUCAGCAUUUUUUUUUUUUUUUGACAGAGUCUCGCUCUCUCACCAGGCUGGAGUGCAGUGGCGCCAUCUCGGCUCACCGCAACCUCCGCCUCCCAGGUUCAAGUGAUUCUCCUGCCUCAGCCUCCCGAGUAGCUGGGACUAUAGGCGCCUGCCACCAUGCCUGGCUAAUUUCUUUGUAUUUUUAGUAGAGACAGGGUUUCACCAUGUUGGCCAGGAUGGUCUCGAUCUCUUGACCUCGUGAUCCAACCGCCUCGGCCUCUGAACGUGCUGGGAUUACAGGUGUGAGCCACCACGCCCAGCCCGACUUCAGCAUUUUUACAUUCCACAUAUAAGGAAGAAUGCGCAGUAUUUUUCUUCCUUUGCCUGGCUUAUUUCACUUAGUAUAAUGUCUUCUAAGUUCAUCCAUGUUAUUGUAAAGGUCAGGAUGUCUCUAUUGAGUUUGAAUAGUAUUCCAUGUCAUAUAUGUCUACCGCAUUUCCUUGAUCCACUCAUCAGUGGGUAAACACAUAGGUUCUUUUCAUGUGUUGGCUGUUGUGAAUAAUGUUGCAAUGAACAUGGGAGUGCAGAUAUCUCUUUCACAUUGUGACUUCAUUUCCUUUGGAUAUAUACCAGAAGGAGGAUUGCUGAAUAAUAUGGUAGUUCUGGUUUUAAUUUUUUGAGGAAAAUUCAUAUUUUCCAUAAUAGCUAUACCAAUUGACACUCUCACUAGCAGAGUCCAAGGGUUCCAUUUUUGCCAUAUCAUCAUCAACUCUUUUCUUAUGUCUUUUUGAUCAUAGCCAUUCUAACAGGGAAAAUCAGGCAGGAUCUGGAAGUGGGACAAGGGCUCAGGUGGGCAAACACCUGCUCCCAGCCCAGCUGUAUCCUUUCCAGGCCAGCCUCUGUCAUCACAGGGUCCUGAGCUGAGGGCUGGGUGUUAGUGCAGCUCUCACAUAAAAAUCAUACAUUUUCCUAGGACAUUUUACUAGAUUUCAGGGAGAAAUUGAUUGCUUUUAUAUUAAAACAAAAGCUGAGAAUUGAGCCCAAGGCAAAACACAAAUGCUUCAUCAUUUUUAUGCAUUUACAAGGGGCACCGUCAGUGAUCAAGGGGCUUGCACCAUCAAUAUUCUGCCAGCCAAGCCUCUCUGGUCCCCUGCACAGCCCUUCAGGGAACCUGCUGCAGGUUCUUCUCCCUUUAAGAGCCUCGGGUGUAAAAGCAGAAGCCCUGCAAUUCUUCUGGUAACCACCAGAGGGACAGACAGCAAUUUGAGAGGCCAGGACUGAGCCUUGGGUCAGUGCUGAAACACCUGUGUGUGAGUUUCUCUGGCACUCCCUGCCCUGAGCUGGCUCUUGCCUCAAUCACACCUGUGUUUCCAGGGAGACAAGCCCUGGAGUGUAAAAUUACAUCUAGGUGUCUAGGUGCAAGAGAGCAAAAGGGUUCAUUAAGAUGCCACUCUAAUCCCUUGCAGUGCAACUUGGAAGGUCAUGAGUCUUCCCAAGGGCUCUGGGGAGAGAGGUUGGAGGUGGCUUGGUGUUGCUGUGUGAUGAGCGUGAGGGAGGGCUCAGAUGCACCUGGGGCUGAGGUGUCUGGGGCUGCUGGACAGUGCCCUGGGCAGAGCUCUGGAGGCUGAGACUGCACAGCCUGUGGAUUUGGCUGAGCAUUGGCCUCACACAGAUGCUGGUUGUUGGAUGGUGAGCUUUAGGGUAGAAUGAGGGCUUGAGGGGCAAGGCAGAUGCAUUGUGUAGAUUCUAGAACACAGCAGGACAAUGCCAGUGAUGACAGCUAGCUGUGAUGGAGACCUGUGAUAAGAAUGUCAAUUACAGUCACAAUCCAGCAGGAAUUGUGGCUGUCCUGGGCAGCACUGUUGCUUAUCUUUCAUGAUUCUCAUGGGCAUUGAUAAUUCCCUAAAUUAUAUUUUCCCUUGGCGCUUGCUGGACAAAAUGUCCUCCAGAGCUCUCCAACAUUGAGACACAAUCCCACUGAGAAUGCGGGAGGCUAGUGAGGAUGCUGCAAAGGAAGAGGAGGGCAGCCCCCUGUAUGGUGCAAUCCAACAUCUAUCCACGGUCCUUUACUUCACCCUUAGAAAUGGAAGUUUUCUUCUCAACUGUAUGGAUGUGGAUUUGGGUAUUGGCACACACUGCCUGGUGGGUAGACCUGCUGUGUAGGAGCAGUCACAGAGCUUAGCACUACGCCUCCAGCUCAGCCCUGAAUUCUUUCCUGGGUAAAGCCAGACCUUUUCAGGCUAAGCCCCAGUUUCGGGGUUUGCCUGCCCUGCAGCCCAUAUACUUCAGGUCCUCACCUGCUUUGAGGACUCCCCACUGUGCACUCUGGCCCUGGCCCUGGCCUUGGAUGGUACCCGUGCUGCAGGCAGAGCCACCCUCUCCAUUUGCAAGAGCACAGGCGCACAGGGAGGGCCCAGGCUGCACAGCUCAGGAACUGCCCUCGUCCAGGUGGAGUCCUGGAUGACUAAUGC
rnacentral:lncRNA from 1 species